rnacentral:rRNA from 1 species
GACGAACGCUUGCGGCGUGCCUAAGAAAUGCAAGUCGAGCGAGGUCUUGCGCUGUCCAAAGCUUCGGCAGCGGACUUGCAAGCCCUAGCGGCGAACGGUCGCGUAACACGUAAGCAACCUGCCCUGAAGUGGGGGAUAGCCCGCCGAAAGGCGGAGUAAUACCGCAUGUGUCCCGACAGGCGCAUGUCAGUCGGGAUAAAGCAGCAAUGCGCUUCAGGAUGGGCUUGCGGCCUAUCAGCUAGUUGGUGGGGUAACGGCCUACCAAGGCGACGACGGGUAGCUGGUCUGAGAGGAUGGUCAGCCGGAUUGGGACUGAGAUACGGCCCAGACUCCUACGGGGGGCAGCAAUUAGGAAUCUUGCGCAAUGGGGGAAACCCUGACGCAGCGACGCCGCGUGAGCGAUGAAGUCUCUAGGGAUGUAAAGCUCUGUCCUGCGGGGAAGAAGAA